rnacentral:rRNA from 1 species
UACGUAGGUGGUUUGUCGCGUUGUCCGUGAAAUUCCCUGGCUUAACUGGGGGCGUGCGGGCGAUACGGGCAGACUGGAGUACUGCAGGGGAGACUGGAAUUCCUGGUGUAGCGGUGGAAUGCGCAGAUAUCAGGAGGAACACCGGUGGCGAAGGCGGGUCUCUGGGCAGUAACUGACGCUGAGAGCGAAAGCGUGGGGAGCGAACAGG